rnacentral:rRNA from 1 species
UUGCUCUUCAACGAGGAAUGCCUAGUAAGCGCGAGUCAUCAGCUCGCGUUGAUUACGUCCCUGCCCUUUGUACACACCGCCCGUCGCUCCUACCGAUUGGGUGUGCUGGUGAAGCGUUCGGAUUGGCGUUAGUGGGCGGUUUUCCGCCUCCUCUCACUGAGAAGUUCGUUAAACCCUCCCACCUAGAGGAAGGAGAAGUCGUAACAAGGUUUCCGUAGGUGAACCUGCGGAAGGAUCAUUGAAUCUAACGUGCCCACACCGCGAAACUACUUAUGCCCUUCUGGAACAGGCAAACUUUAUUGUUUGCCCUUCAGUUGCGCAGGUCAGGGGCUGGCUCCUUUUGGUGUCAGUUGACUUGACUGGGCGGGUCCAAUACCAGCCGGAUUCACCUUGCCUUCUAGGCUUGGGGUUCUGCCGGCUGUGAGGGGUGGCUGUUUAACUCACUUUAAGCAAUCAAUUCUGAAGGCAGAUCUAUAGGCUGGCUAUGCUGGCUGUAGUCUGAUUAAAUAUAGACAACUCUCAACAACGGAUAUCUUGGCUCCCGUAACGAUGAAGAACGCAGCGAAAUGCGAUACGUAGUGUGAAUUGCAGAAUUCCGUGAACCAUCGAAUCUUUGAACGCAAAUUGCGCUCGAGGCCUCGGCCAAGAGCAUGUCUGCCUCAGCGUCGGCUACUACCCUCAACUAAGUUUCCUAUACACAUAGGGGAUGCCGGUUGGAUCUGGCCGUCCGGUUUGCCUUUUAGGUUGCCGGUCAGCUGAAAUACAUUCACGCUCUGGGGGCUGCUUUCCUUCCGAGGAGAGGCGAGUUCCGAUUUGGUAGGUGACCUUUGCCGGUUGCAUGCCUUCGUUGCCCGCUAAGCUUUCCAGUAUGCGUUGUGCAGGACGCCUUUUGGCUUUCGACCUGAGGUCAGGCAAGAACACCCGCUGAACUUAAGCAUAUCAAUAAGCGGAGGA